rnacentral:lncRNA from 1 species
GUGGUCAGCCUGGGGACAGUGAGACUGAGAUGCACAUUCACGAGACUUCUCCAUUUUUUUCUUUCAGUCUUUGAAUGAAUACAACGUUGCCCGGUUGGAAUAUUAUCGCUAUUUUACAAGAAAAAUAGCAUAAAAAUAGAUUUUAAACAGCGUUGGACAUGCUUCUAAAUACAGUAAUGGAAUAUUUUGACAUUUUUUGUCACGAAAUGCGCUCGCGCGUUACCCUUCGGAUACUGACCUGAACGCACGAACAAAACGGAGGACAUCACAACUGCGCAGGGUGAGAGAGACGUUUGCACAAGGCAUCGUCUCCUUGUUCCCAUACCUGAAGGAUUCCUACACCGCAAAUGGAUAUGAACAUUAUUACAACGCUAAUAGUGGAGAAGGGUACCUCUCGUAUAGAAUCAAAACCAUUCAGAGAAAUUUGGCUUCA